rnacentral:misc_RNA from 1 species
AAAUUCUAGUCAGCAGUUAAAGUUGAGAAGCAUUUACAGUUGGAACCAAAACUCUAUUAAAUAUAAUUCUUGACUUUCACUAAAAUGAAAGUUAUUUUUCCACUGUCGGUGGUAGUUUGCGUUGCCUAUGCAAUGGCCUUACCAUCAAAGGUCUCAACAACUUAUAGCGAUAACUAUCCAGCUUUCAAAGAUGAACUGUGCAACGACUACGACUACCGUACAGACAACUACAAUCUGUUUGGGCAAUUAGUUUAUAUACUUUUGACAUUACCAAACGAAGAAAAUAACUUAGAAACCAAUUGUAAUAAAUAUAUGAGUAUUUCAAAACGCGCCUUUGCUGUUCUUCUUCGUCUUAAAAAUAUUAAUAGACCGAAGAAUGAAAAAUUCGAGUCAUAUCCCAAAAGAACCUUAGACAGUAUUGGUGGUGGUCACUUAAUAAAAAGAAGCGACAAAAUCGACUUUUAAAAUUUUAUGUUUCGUUUUUUAUAAUUAACCAUGUAUAUAACGUAUGCAUUUCUUUAAACUUAUUUAUUUGUAAAUGCAUGCACAUAAUAAAACUACUUUUUAUCUUUACCAAGCUGACUUUACAAACUUAAAUCCGGAUAAUAUUUAUAUAAGAAUUCUCAUGGACUUGGACAACAGAAUCCGGAGAUGCAUAUACCCCAACUCC